CCUACGGGAGGCAGCAGUGAGGAAUAUUGGUCAAUGGACGAGAGUCUGAACCAGCCAAGUAGCGUGAAGGAUGACUGCCCUAUGGGUUGUAAAUUUCUUUUAUAAAGGAAUAAAACGAGGCACGUGUGCCUUUUUGCAUGUACUUUAUGAAUAAGGAUCGGCUACCUCCGUCCCAGUAGCCGCGGUAAUACGGAGGAUCCGGGCGUUAUCCGGCUUUAUUGGGUUUAAAGGGAGCGUAGGUGGGUUGAUAAGUCAGUUGUGAAAGUUUGCGGCUCAACCGUAAAAUUGCAAUUGAUACUGGCAGUCUUGAGUACAGUUGAGGUAGGCGGAAUUCGUGGUGUAGCGGUGAAAUGCUUAGAUAUCACGAAGAACCCCGAUUGCGAAGGCAGCUUACUAAACUGUGACUGACAUUGAUGCUCGAAAGUGUGGGUAUCAAACAGGAUUAGAUACCCUUGUAGUC
rnacentral:rRNA from 1 species